UUUGAUUUUUUUUAUUUUUUAAGUUUCUUCCUUUUGCUUGAGGAGGACAGCUAAAGCACAAAUGCUAUUCUAAAUGACCCAAAUUGUUUUGGAUCUGUUGAUUAGUUUCCUGACAAAUGAUGUUGCAGUCUGGAUUGAAGCUCUAAAGAAAAAACCCAUGAAGUAUAACAACAAGGCUCAACUGUAUCUUCUGCUGUCUGCCAUGGAAACUCUCCUAUGAUAAGAUGUCAAAGGGUAGAAAAGCAGGGUGGAGAAAAUAGCCUGACUCAGCCAGAAGCAAAAUCCCAGGCUCAGGUGAACAUGUUCCCCAUCUGAUGCACUGUGGAAACAUGGAGGGAAACUGUAACAUAACAACAAAGCAGUAGUGAAUCCAAUUGCAAAUCAGUGUGUUCCCAGCGUGCCUUGCUGUUGUAUCCAGAAGAAGGACAGCAGAGAAAACAGAUGUCCAGGUGACCAGUGAAAUGCAUAAGCCAUUUCUUGUGGCUCAGAUAUUGUUUGCAGGAUCAAAAGGCCACCUAUUGUUGUGAAAUUCUGCAGACUGAAAUGUUGCUGUGUAUUUCCAGACACAAGGUUGCACUUCACUGAAACUUCAUAUUGGAAGUAAAUAUUCAGAACUUGAAAGAAAAACAGGUGAGUACUAAGAAAAGUGACCUAGAUUAUUCUAAAUGGUUAUUAAUAUUUUUAUUCCCACAAAAAUUAUUCCUCAUGUGUUCCUGAUUUAACUUCCCUGAUUUAGCAUGACUGUAUCCAUUUAAUAAGCAGGUUUCACUGUAAAAAUAAAAUGCAAGCAUAGAAACCUCCUGUUAUCUCUUUUUGCUCUCAUUUUUUAAAAUGCGUCUCUAUUACAUAUUUUCAAUGUAUUUUCUCAUUCAGCAUGAGAAAGGACUCAAGUGAAACCGAGACCAGAGCUUGGCAUUAGGUAUUGAUUUCACAGAGGUAUUGUAGCUGCUUUUAGCAUUUGCAUUUGGGAUUAAAAUGAUACAAUGUCCUUUUAUAGGAACAUUUUUGAUAGUUGCUUCUCUGCCUGUCAGUCAGUUCUCAUCCUCUAAUCAUUAAGGUUCAAGCAAUGAAUGUCAUUAGCAAAGUUGUAGAAAAGUACUACAAUAAGACCUUUUAGAAAUAAACUUGAAAUAAAAUAAUUUUUUAUUAUCCGAAAAGACCUUCUAACUGCAGAUAUAAUUAUCUUGCAUAAUGACAUUGCAAAUUCUUGUGCCAAGGAACAAAAUCAAAAAAAUUCACAAAGUAGCACAAUAUUAUGAGGCUUUGUACUAGAAUUUGGGUUUUAUUAUCCCCAUCUGUUCCUCUCUUGCACACGUGCUCUCACACUCACCUGCUCACACACAUGCACACUCACAUAUACA